AGCGAACGCUGGCGGCAGGCCUAACACAUGCAAGUCGAACGAACCUUUCGGGGUUAGUGGCGGACGGGUGAGUAACACGUGGGAACGUGCCUUUAGGUUCGGAAUAACUCAGGGAAACUUGUGCUAAUACCGAAUGUGCCCUUCGGGGGAAAGAUUUAUCACCUUUAGAGCGGCCCGCGUCUGAUUAGCUAGUUGGUUGAGGUAAUGGCUCACCAAGGCGACGAUCAGUAGCUGGUCUGAGAGGAUGAUCAGCCACAUUGGGACUGAGACACGGCCCAAACUCCUACGGGAGGCAGCAGUGGGGAAUCUUGCGCAAUGGGCGAAAGCCUGACGCAGCCAUGCCGCGUGAAUGAUGAAGGUCUUAGGAUUGUAAAAUUCUUUCACCGGGGACGAUAAUGACGGUACCCGGAGAAGAAGCCCCGGCUAACUUCGUG
rnacentral:rRNA from 1 species